GUAAUAGCUCACUGGUCGAGUCGGCCUGCGCGGAAGAUGUAACGGGGCUAAACUAUGCACCGAAGCUGCGGCAGCGAUAUGUAAAUAUUGUUGGGUAGGGGAGCGUUCUGUAAGCCUGUGAAGGUGUACUGUGAGGUAUGCUGGAGGUAUCAGAAGUGCGAAUGCUGACAUAAGUAACGAUAAUGCGGGUGAAAAACCCGCACGCCGGAAGACCAAGGGUUCCUGUCCAACGUUAAUCGGGGCAGGGUGAGUCGACCCCUAAGG
rnacentral:rRNA from 1 species